rnacentral:rRNA from 1 species
GCAUAUCAAUAAGCGGAGGAAAAGAAACCAACAGGGAUUGCCUCAGUAACGGCGAGUGAAGCGGCAAAAGCUCAAAUUUGAAACCCUCGGGAUUGUAAUUUGAAGAUUUGGCAUUGGAGAAAGCUAACCCAAGUUGCUUGGAAUAGUACGUCAUAGAGGGUGACAACCCCGUCUGGCUAACCGUUCUCCAUGUAUUGCCUUAUCAAAGAGUCGAGUUGUUUGGGAAUGCAGCUCAAAGUGGGUGGUAAACUCCAUCUAAAGCUAAAUACUGGUGAGAGACCGAUAGCGAACAAGUACUGUGAAGGAAAGGUGAAAAGAACUUUGAAAAGAGAGUGAAAUAGUAUGUGAAAUUGUUGAUAGGGAAGGAAAUGAGUGGAGAGUGGCCGAGGUUUCAGCCGCCCCUCGUGGGCGGUGUACUGCCGACGCCGAGUCAUCGAUAGCGAGACGAGGGUUACAAAUGGGAGCGCCUUCGGGCGUUCUCCCCUAACCCUCCACACUGCCACCGACGACAUAAUCCACCCAUUUCACCCGUCUUGAAACACGGACCAAGGAGUCUAAUGGAUAUGUGAGUGUUAGGGUGGCAAACCCCAGCGCGCAAUGAAAGUGAAUGGAUUCGUUCAGAAUCGACCGAACUUGAUUAUUAUGACAGUUUUGAGUAAACACAUCCAUUGGGACCCGAAAGAUGGUGAACUAUGCCUGGAUAGGGUGAAGUCAGAGGAAACUCUGAUGGAGGCUCGUAGCGGUUCUGACGUGCAAAUCGAUCGUAGGAUCUGGGUAUAGGGGCGAAAGACUAAUCGAACCAUCUAGUAGCUGGUUCCUGCCGAAGUU